rnacentral:rRNA from 1 species
UCCAGUUGCCUCUCUGCAGUUCUUGCCUGGUGUCUCACUAAUGCUAAACAGGGUUGAGUCUGACCAGUACCUGGAUUGGAGACCUCCUGAGGAAAACUAAGAUUGCUGCUGGAA